GAAGUUUUCAGAGAUGAGAAUGUGCCUUCGGGAACCGUGAGACAGGUGCUGCAUGGCUGUCGUCAGCUCGUGUUGUGAAAUGUUGGGUUAAGUCCCGCAACGAGCGCAACCCUUAUCCUUUGUUGCCAGCGAUUCGGUCGGGAACUCAAAGGAGACUGCCAGUGAUAAACUGGAGGAAGGUGGGGAUGACGUCAAGUCAUCAUGGCCCUUACGACCAGGGCUACACACGUGCUACAAUGGCGCAUACAAAGAGAAGCGACCUCGCGAGAGCAAGCGGACCUCAUAAAGUGCGUCGUAGUCCGGAUUGGAGUCUGCAACUCGACUCCAUGAAGUCGGAAUCGCUAGUAAUCGUGGAUCAGAAUGCCACGGUGAAUACGUUCCCGGGCCUUGUACACACCGCCCGUCACACCAUGGGAGUGGGUUGCAAAAGAAGUAGGUAGCUUAACCUUCGGGAGGGCGCUUACCACUUUGUGAUUCAUGACUGGGGUGAAGUCGUAACAAGGUAACCGUAGGGGAACCUGC
rnacentral:rRNA from 1 species